AAAAUUCUAAGUGUCUUCCUGGGGAGAGGAUAAGUUCCACUCUCUAGUUCACCCACAGAACCCACGCCUCCCUGUUAUCUUACACAGGGCUGGGUAUGGCAGGCCCAUGAGCUCAUUGAGUCCUGCCUUCAGAAAACCUGGACCAGGGGGUUUGGAUGUUCCAGGGGGCAGGACUGAUGCUCCUCCCAUCCUCAGCCCCACCCAGGUCUUGGCAGAGCCCAAGUGGGUGUGUUGUGGGGGAGUCCUGAACUGGUCUGGGCCUCAUCGCUCUGCUCUCACCCCCAACCCCAGAGAUGAGAGCUCCAAGUUCAGCCAGCUGGGUCUGCUGCCUCCUUGCCUCUGAUCUGGGGUCCCAGAACUCCUCUUUUCCCAGAGGGGGUCAGGGCAGAGGGAGGCAGUGUCCCUGCUGGGCCUGUAGAGGAAGCUGAGGGCUGCGUAUACCCUGGCCAGCAGCCCAGGAAGCCUGAGCAUGUAAUGAAAAGAUUGCAUCUCCUCGACUCUGCUGUUGGGGACAAGCAUUUCCAGUGUUGUCCUUGCCCUGUGACCUCUGUCUGGGCACUGCCUCCCCUGCUUCCUGGCUCUGUUCUGUCCCUUUAGGCAGGCUCAGCAGCCCCAUCUCAGCUGGUUCUGGGCACAGAGAAGACAGAGACCCCUUUCUCCUCUUCAGGUCUCCAGACGGCCACCCCAAAGGGUGACAGACGUGCCUCCCAUUCACAUGCCUCUUUGCUGUUGGCAAAGCAAAGUCACAUCCAUCCUGGAAGGGACACCCCAGCUCUACAGAGGCCACCCAGCUGUGAGGGGAUGAGCUGCACCUCCGACGUAAAUCUACUGAGUGUUCACCCUUGCGCUGGCCCCCUAGUCCAUCCUGACUCCCUGUGUUGUGAGGCCCAUUUGUGGGAGGCAGAGUAGGGUGUGGACGAGGUGCAUAGGAUAGCUGAAGAGCUGCUCCCUGAGCCCCAGACAAUGGCUCUGAUGAAUCCAAAUAGUCAUGGAACACUGUAGCCUUUGCAAGUAAGACCAUGAGAUAUCAAGACGCCCCACAGUCACCAGCCUCACUAGUAGAAGGAAGUAAAGCAGGCAAGCACUCUCAGCAGAGAAAGGGACCAACUUCUGGGGAUACAAAGGAGAGGGAGGAUAGGGCCAGGCAUGAGGGAAAAAGUCAAGGGUAAGAGCCUGGGCAGCUGGGCAGUGGGGAGAGCUUCCAAAGGGACAAGC
rnacentral:lncRNA from 1 species